rnacentral:rRNA from 1 species
UACGUAGGGGGCGAGCGUUGUCCGGAAUCAUUGGGCGUAAAGAGCUCGUAGGCGGCUUGGCAAGUCGGAUGUGAAAACUCCAGGCUCAACCUGGAGCCGCCAUUCGAUACUGCUAUGGCUAGAGUCCGGUAGGGGAGUGUGGAAUUCCCGGUGUAGCGGUGAAAUGCGUAGAUAUCGGAAGGAACACCUGUGGCGAAAGCGGCUCACUGGACCAUUACUGACGCUGAGGCACGAAAGCUAGGGAGCAAACAGGA